rnacentral:tRNA from 1 species
UCCAGGAUAGCCUAGUGGACAUAGCAGAAGGUUGUGGGUUCGAUUCCCGCUCCUGGAC